rnacentral:rRNA from 1 species
AUAAUACCUAUAGGCUACCAAUGCUGGAAUGCCUGGUAGCCGAAAGUUCCGGCGCCUUAGGAUGGAUCUGCGGCCGAUUAGGUUGUUGUCGGGGUAACGGCCCAACAAGCCAGUAAUCGGUACGGGUUGUGGGAGCAAGAGCCCGGAGUUGGAUUCUGAGACACGAAUCCAGGCCCUACGGGGCGCAGCAGGCGCGAAAACUUUACAAUGCGGGCAACCGUGAUAAGGGAACCUCGAGUGCCUGUAUAUGCAGGCUGUCUGAGUGUCUAAAACACACUCAAAGAAAGGGCCGGGCAAGACCGGUGCCAGCCGCCGCGGUAAUACCGGCGGCUCGAGUGGUGGCCACUUUUAUUGGGCUUAAAGCGUUCGUAGCUGGGUUAUUAAGUCCCUUGGGAAAUCCGGCGGCUUAACCGUCGGGCGUCUAAGGGAUACUGGUAAUCUUGGAACCGGGAGAGGUGAGGGGUACUUCGGGGGUAGGAGUGAAAUCCUGUAAUCCUCGAGGGACCACCUGUGGCGAAGGCGCCUCACCAGAACGGCUUCGACAGUGAGGGACGAAAGCUGGGGGAGCAAACCGGAUUAGAUACCCGGGUAGUCCCAGCCGUAAACGAUGUGCGUUAGGUGU